AAGCGGUGGAGGAUGUGGCUUAAUUCGAGGCUACGCGAAGAACCUUAUCCUAGUCUUGACAUGCACGGAUUAACUCGGUGAAAGCCGAGCCACGCCUUCGGGUGGAACGUGCACAGGUGCUGCAUGGCUGUCGUCAGCUCGUGUCGUGAGAUGUCGGGUUAAGUCCCUUAACGAGCGAAACCCUUGUCGCUAGUUGCCAGCGAGUCAUGUCGGGGACUCUAGCGAGACCGCCGGUGUUAAACCGGAGGAAGGUGGGGAUG
rnacentral:rRNA from 1 species